rnacentral:snRNA from 1 species
AUACUUACCUGGCAGGGGAGAUACCAUGAUCACGAAGGUGGUUUUCCCAGGGCGAGGCUUAUCCAUUGCAGAUGUGCUGACCCCUGCAAUUUCCCCAAAUGUGGGGAACUCGACUGCAUAAUUUGUGGUAGUGGGGGACUGCGUUCGCGCUCUCCCUUA